rnacentral:rRNA from 1 species
AUAGGGGAGCCGGAGGGAAACCGAGUCUUAAUUGGGCGUUAAGUUGCAGGGUAUAGACCCGAAACCCGGUGAUCUAGCCAUGGGCAGGUUGAAGGUUGGGUAACACUAACUGGAGGACCGAACCGACUAAUGUUGAAAAAUUAGCGGAUGACCUGUGGCUGGGGGUGAAAGGCCAAUCAAACCGGGAGAUAGCUGGUUCUCCCCGAAAGCUAUUUAGGUAGCGCCUCGUGAAUUCAUCUCCGGGGGUAGAGCACUGUUUCGGCUAGGGGGCCAUCCCGGCUUACCAACCCGAUGCAAACUGCGAAUACCGGAGAAUGUUAUCACGGGAGACACACGGCGGGUGCUAACGUCCGUCGUGAAGAGGGAAACAACCCAGACCGCCAGCUAAGGUCCCAAAGUCAUGGUUAAGUGGGAAACGAUGUGGGAAGGCCCAGACAGCCAGGAUGUUGGCUUAGAAGCAGCCAUCAUUUAAAGAAAGCGUAAUAGCUCACUGGUCGAGUCGGCCUGCGCGGAAGAUGUAACGGGGCUAAACCAUGCACCGAAGCUGCGGCAGCGACGCUGAUGCGUUGUUGGGUAGGGGAGCGUUCUGUAAGCCUGCGAAGGUGACCUGUGAGGGUUGCUGGAGGUAUCAGAAGUGCGAAUGCUGACAUAAGUAACGAUAAAGCGGGUGAAAAGCCCGCUCGCCGGAAGACCAAGGGUUCCUGUCCAACGUUAAUCGGGGCAGGGUGAGUCGACCCCUAAGGC